UGAACGCUGGCGGCGUGCCUAAUACAUGCAAGUCGAGCGAACAGACGAGGAGCUUGCUCCUCUGACGUUAGCGGCGGACGGGUGAGUAACACGUGGAUAACCUACCUAUAAGACUGGGAUAACUUCGGGAAACCGGAGCUAAUACCGGAUAAUAUAUUGAACCGCAUGGUUCAAUAGUGAAAGACGGUUUUGCUGUCACUUAUAGAUGGAUCCGCGCCGCAUUAGCUAGUUGGUAAGGUAACGGCUUACCAAGGCAACGAUGCGUAGCCGACCUGAGAGGGUGAUCGGCCACACUGGAACUGAGACACGGUCCAGACUCCUACGGGAGGCAGCAGUAGGGAAUCUUCCGCAAUGGGCGAAAGCCUGACGGAGCAACGCCGCGUGAGUGAUGAAGGUCUUCGGAUCGUAAAACUCUGUUAUUAGGGAAGAACAAAUGUGUAAGUAACUAUGCACGUCUUGACGGUACCUAAUGAGAAAGCCACGGCUAACUACGUG
rnacentral:rRNA from 1 species